rnacentral:rRNA from 1 species
CUGACACAGGGAGGUAGUGACAAUAAAUAACAAUGCCGGGCUUUCAUAAGUCUGGCAAUUGGAAUGAGAACAAUUUAAAUCCCUUAUCGAGGAUCAAUUGGAGGGCAAGUCUGGUGCCAGCAGCCGCGGUAAUUCCAGCUCCAAUAGCGUAUACUAAAGUUGUUGCAGUUAAAAAGCUCGUAGUUGAAUUUCUGGUCUUGGACGGCGGUCUGCCUCAAACGAGGUACGUAUCAUCUGUCCGGGUCCAUCCUCGGGGAAAAUAUAUCUGUGAUUAAGUUCAUGGGUAUAGGAUCCUCGUCAUUUACUGUGAGCAAAAUAGGGUGUUCAAAGCAGGCUUAUGCCGUUGAAUACAUUAGCAUGGAAUAAUAAGAUAAGACCUUGGUCUAUUUUGUUGGUUUGCAUUCCAAGGUAAUGAUUAAUAGGGACAGUUGGGGGUAUUCGUAUUCAAUUGUCAGAGGUGAAAUUCUUGGAUUUAUGGAAGACGAACUACUGCGAAAGCA